rnacentral:tRNA from 1 species
UAGCUCAGUCAGCUGAGCGUAGCGCUAACAACGUUAAGGUCGCGGGUUUGAUUCCCGU